UCUCCGUUGGUGAACCAGCGGAGGGAUCAUUACAGGACUCGCAAGACUCCUACAACCCUGUGAACUUAACUAUAAGUACGUUGCUUCGGCGGGUGUCUCGGAGGGGGUUCUCCCUCCCCGAGACGCUAAACCCGCCGGCAGCCUACUAUACUCUGUCUCUUUGCGUUGGCAUCUCGAGUACAAUCAAACAAGUUAAAACUUUCAACAACGGAUCUCUUGGUUCUG
rnacentral:misc_RNA from 1 species